rnacentral:rRNA from 1 species
AAAGAAACCAACCGGGAUUGCCCCAGUAACGGCGAGUGAAGCGGCAAGAGCUCAAAUUUGAAAUCUGGCCCCCCCGGGGGUCCGAGUUGUAAUUUGCAGAGGAUGCUUCGGGCGUGGCCCCUGUCUAAGUGCCCUGGAACGGGCCGUCAGAGAGGGUGAGAGCCCCGUCUUGGGCAGGGUGCCCGCGCCCGUGUGAAGCUCCUUCGACGAGUCGAGUUGUUUGGGAAUGCAGCUCUAAAUGGGUGGUAAAUUUCAUCUAAAGCUAAAUACCGGCCGGAGACCGAUAGCGCACAAGUAGAGUGAUCGAAAGAUGAAAAGCACUUUGAAAAGAGAGUUAAACAGCACGUGAAAUUGUUGAAAGGGAAGCGCUUGCGACCAGACUCGCCCCCGGGGUUCAGCCGGCAUUCGUGCCGGUGCCCUUCCCCGGGGGCGGGCCAGCGUCGGUUUGGGCGGCCGGUCAAAGGCCCCGGGAAUGUAUCGCCCUCCGGGGCGUCUUAUAGCCCGGGGUGCAAUGCGGCCAGCCCGGACCGAGGAACGCGCUCCGGCACGGACGCUGGCGUAAUGGUCACAAACGAC